AAGUCUCAGAGUGUUUGCAUCAAGCAGAAGAGAUCGGAAUGCAGCCAAGGAUGACUUGCCGGCUUUUACAGUAUCUUGCUCUAAUCAGCAGAGUCUUGCCGGCAAGUUGCUCUUGGCUACAUUUAGCUCUCUUCCUCUAAUGUCAGCCUCUGAGAUUU